rnacentral:rRNA from 1 species
AACGAAGGGGGCUAGCGUUGCUCGGAAUCACUGGGCGGAAAGCGCACGUAGGCGGGUCUUUAAGUCAGGGGGGAAAUCCUGGAGCUCAACUCCAGAACUGCCUUUGAUACUGAGAAGCUCGAGUCCGGGAGAGGUGAGUGGAACUGCGAGUGUAGAGGUGAAAUUCGUAGAUAUUCGCAAGAACACCAGUGGCGAAGGCGGCUCACUGGCCCGGUACUGACGCUGAGGUGCGAAAGCGUGGGGAGCAAACAGG